rnacentral:rRNA from 1 species
GCAUGUUAUUGAACUAAGAUUUANCGGUAUCGGAUGGGGAUGCGUGACAUUAGAUAGUAGGCGGGGUAACGGCCCACCUAGUCGACGAUGGUUAAGGGGUUCUGAGAGGAAGGUCCCCCACACUGGAACUGAGACACGGUCCAGACUCCUACGGGAGGCAGCAGUGAGGAAUAUUGGUCAAUGGCCGAGAGGCUGAACCAGCCAAGUAGCGUGAAGGAUGAAGGUUCUAUGGAUUGUAAACUUCUUUUAUACGGGAAUAACACCAUCUACGUGUAGAUGUCUGCAUGUACCGUAUGAAUAAGCAUCGGCUAACUCCGUG